UGGGGAAUAUUGGACAAUGGGCGAAAGCCUGAUCCAGCAACGCCGCGUGAGGGAUGACGGCCUUCGGGUUGUAAACCUCUUUCAGCGGGGACGAAGCGAAAGUGACGGUACCCGCAGAAGAAGCACCGGCCAACUACGUGCCAGCAGCCGCGGUAACACGUAGGGUGCAAGCGUUGUCCGGAAUUAUUGGGCGUAAAGGGCUCGUAGGCGGUCCGUCGCGUCGGGAGUGAAAACUCGGGGCUCAACCCCGAGCCUGCUUUCGAUACGGGCGGACUAGAGGUAGGUAGGGGAGAACGGAAUUCCUGGUGUAGCGGUGGAAUGCGCAGAUAUCAGGAGGAACACCGGUGGCGAAGGCGGUUCUCUGGGCCUUACCUGACGCUGAGGAGCGAAAGCGUGGGGAGCGAACAGG
rnacentral:rRNA from 1 species